rnacentral:rRNA from 1 species
AGGGUUUGGGAUCAUUGGCUCAGGACGAACGCUGGCGGCGUGCCUAAUACAUGCAAGUCGAGCGGACUUUAAAGGAGCUUGCUCUUUUAAAGUUAGCGGCGGACGGGUGAGUAACACGUGGGCAACCUGCCCUAUAGUUGGGGAUAACUCCGGGAAACCGGGGCUAAUACCGAAUGAUACAUUUUAUCUCCUGGUGAAAUGUUGAAGGAUGGUUUUGCUAUCGCUAUAGGAUGGGCCCGCGGCGCAUUAGCUAGUUGGUGAGGUAACGGCUCACCAAGGCGACGAUGCGUAGCCGACCUGAGAGGGUGAUCGGCCACACUGGGACUGAGACACGGCCCAGACUCCUACGGGAGGCAGCAGUAGGGAAUCUUCCACAAUGGGCGAAAGCCUGAUGGAGCAACGCCGCGUGAGUGAAGAAGGUUUUCGGAUCGUAAAACUCUGUUGUAAGGGAAGAACAAGUACAGUAGUAACUGGCUGUACCUUGACGGUACCUUAUUAGAAAGCCACGGCUAACUACGUGCCAGCAGCCGCGGUAAUACGUAGGUGGCAAGCGUUGUCCGGAAUUAUUGGGCGUAAAGCGCGCGCAGGUGGUCCUUUAAGUCUGAUGUGAAAGCCCACGGCUCAACCGUGGAGGGUCAUUGGAAACUGGGGGACUUGAGUGCAGAAGAGGAAAGUGGAAUUCCAAGUGUAGCGGUGAAAUGCGUAGAGAUUGGAGGAACACCAGUGGCGAAGGCGACUUUCUGGUCUGUAACUGACACUGAG